rnacentral:rRNA from 1 species
CUCGGCUUGUUUCACUCGUGCCGUGAGGUGUUAGGUUAAGUCCUGCAACGAGCGCAACCCCUGUCACUAGUUGCCAUCAUUAAGUUGGGGACUCUAGUGAGACUGCCUACGCAAGUAGAGAGGAAGGUGGGGAUGACGUCAAAUCAUCACGGCCCUUACGCCUUGGGCCACACACGUAAUACAAUGGCCGGUACAGAGGGCAGCUACACAGCGAUGUGAUGCAAAUCUCGAAAGCCGGUCUCAGUUCGGAUUGGAGUCUGCAACUCGACUCUAUGAAGCUGGAAUCGCUAGUAAUCGCGCAUCAGCCAUGGCGCGGUGAAUACGUUCCCGGGCCUUGUACACACCGCCCGUCAAGCCAUGGAAGUCUGGGGUACCUGAAGUCGGUGACCGUAACAGGAGCGCCUAGGGAAAACAC